rnacentral:rRNA from 1 species
AAGUGACAGGUGGUGCAUGGUUGUCGUCAGCUCGUGUCGUGAGAUGUUGGGUUAAGUCCCGCAACGAGCGCAACCCUUAUUGUUAGUUGCCAUCAUUCAGUUGGGCACUCUAGCAAGACUGCCGGUGACAAACCGGAGGAAGGUGGGGAUGACGUCAAAUCAUCAUGCCCCUUAUGACCUGGGCUACACACGUGCUACAAUGGGAAGUACAACGAGUUGCGAAGUCGCGAGGCUAAGCUAAUCUCUUAAAGCUUCUCUCAGUUCGGAUUGCAGGCUGCAACUCGCCUGCAUGAAGCCGGAAUCGCUAGUAAUCGCGGAUCAGCACGCCGCGGUGAAUACGUUCCCGGGCCUUGUACACACCGCCCGUCACACCACGAGAGUUUGUAACACCCGAAGUCGGUGAGGUAACCUUUUGGAGCCAGCCGCCUAAGGUGGGAUAGAUGAUUGGGGUGAAGUCGUAACAAGGUAGCCGUAUCGGAAGGUGCGGCUGGAUCACCUCCUUU